rnacentral:rRNA from 1 species
UACGUAGGGUGCGAGCGUUGUCCGGAAUUAUUGGGCGUAAAGAGCUCGUAGGCGGUUUGUCGCGUCGACUGUGAAAACCUGGGGCUUAACUCUGGGCCUGCAGUCGAUACGGGCAGACUUGAGUUCGGUAGGGGAGACUGGAAUUCCUGGUGUAGCGGUGAAAUGCGCAGAUAUCGGGAGGAACACCUAUGGCGAAGGCAGCUCGCUGGGACGUUACUGACGCUGAUGCGCGAAAGCGUGGGGAGCAAACAGG